UCGGGAAUUUUGGGCAAUGGGCGCAAGCCUGAUCCAGCCAUGCCGCGUGCAGGAUGACGGUCCUAUGGAUUGUAAACUGCUUUUUGUACAGGAAGAAACAGUUCUACGUGUAGAACCUUGACGGUACUGUAAGAAUAAGGAUCGGCUAACUCCGUGCCAGCAGCCGCGGUAAUACGGAGGAUCCAAGCGUUAUCCGGAAUCAUUGGGUUUAAAGGGUCCGUAGGCGGUUAGAUAAGUCAGUGGUGAAAGCCCAUCGCUCAACGGUGGAACGGCCAUUGAUACUGUCUGACUUGAAUUAUUAGGAAGUAACUAGAAUAUGUAGUGUAGCGGUGAAAUGCUUAGAGAUUACAUGGAAUACCAAUUGCGAAGGCAGGUUACUACUAAUGGAUUGACGCUGAUGGACGAAAGCGUGGGUAGCGAACAGGAUUAGAUACCCCAGUAGUCCCUGAGCGGGCUGGCAAGGCGCAU
rnacentral:rRNA from 1 species